rnacentral:rRNA from 1 species
UACGUAGGGUGCGAGCGUUAAUCGGAAUUACUGGGCGUAAAGCGUGCGCAGGCGGUGAUGUAAGACAGAUGUGAAAUCCCCGGGCUCAACCUGGGAACUGCAUUUGUGACUGCAUCGCUGGAGUGCGGCAGAGGGGGAUGGAAUUCCGCGUGUAGCAGUGAAAUGCGUAGAGAUGCGGAGGAACACCGAUGGCGAAGGCAGCCCCCUGGGCUAACACUGACGCUCAGGCACGAAAGCGUGGGGAGCAAACAGG